AUUGAACGCUGGCGGCAUGCUUUACACAUGCAAGUCGAACGGUAACAGGUUAAGCUGACGAGUGGCGAACGGGUGAGUAAUGCAUCGGAACGUGCCCGAUCGUGGGGGAUAACGCAGCGAAAGCUGCGCUAAUACCGCAUACGAUCUGAGGAUGAAAGCGGGGGACCGUAAGGCCUCGCGCGAUCGGAGCGGCCGAUGUCAGAUUAGGUAGUUGGUGGGGUAAAGGCCCACCAAGCCGACGAUCUGUAGCUGGUCUGAGAGGACGACCAGCCAAACUGGGACUGAGACACGGCCCAGACUCCGACGGGAGGCAGCAGUGGGGAAUUUUGGACAAUGGGCGAAAGCCUGAUCCAGCAAUGCCGCGUGCAGGAAGAAGGCCUUCGGGUUGUAAACUGCUUUUGUACGGAGCGAAAAGGUCCUUUCUAAUACAAGGGGCUCAUGACGGUACCGUAAGAAUAAGCACCGGCUAACUACGUGCCAGCCGCCGCCGUAA
rnacentral:rRNA from 1 species